AGAUAUGGCAAAGGUGAAAGAUGAUCAAGAGUGGGAGAUCAUUGAGAGUCGAAAAGCACUCUCAAGAACAGGACCUGUGCAAGGUUAUAAGCCCAAGAAGAUAUCACUGGAAGAGGAACUUAAGGCUUUGCAAGAGAAGGUUGACAUAAACAACUAUGAGUAUAAGAGAAUUCCCCAGCUAAAUGAAGGCAAGUCAAGCAAAAACUAGUUCCAUUGUGUAAGUUCUGGUGCAAAACCACAGCAUAUGUAUAAAAAAAAAAAAAAAAGUCAAAAUAAUGUAUUUUGAAGUUAGAUGUCAUCUUCUUAAGCGAACCUUCUCUAUUAGCCGUGGUGAAGGUGCCAGCUUUCUUCAAUGAGAAAAACUUCUGCAUUUC